rnacentral:rRNA from 1 species
ACGGGGCCCGCACAAGCGGUGGAGUAUGUGGUUUAAUUCGACGCGACGCGCAGAACCUUACCUAGACUUGACAUCCCGGGGAUUUUCUGGAAACAGAGAAGUGCUUUAGCAAUAAAGAACCCGGUGACAGGUGCUGCAUGGCUGUCGUCAGCUCGUGUCGUGAGAUGUUGGGUUAAGUCCCGCAACGAGCGCAACCCUCGCCUUUAGUUGCCAGCAUUCAGUUGGGCACUCUAGAGGGACUGCCGGUGUCAAACCGGAGGAAGGUGGGAUGACGUCAAGUCCUCAUGGCCUUUAUGUCUAGGGCUACACACGUACUACAAUGGCCGGUACAAAGGGCAGCCACUCAGCGAUGAGGCGCUAAUCCCAUAAAGCCGGUCUCAGUCCGGAUCGCAGUCUGCAACUCGACUGCGUGAAGUUGGAAUCGCUAGUAAUCGUAGAUCAGCAUGCUACGGUGAAUACGUUCCCGGGCCUU